GAGUUUGAUUCUGGCUCAGGAUGAACGCUGGCGGCAUGCCUAACACAUGCAAGUUGAACGAGAAGUUCUGGAGGGAGUCUUCGGACGAACGAAGGAAUGGAAAGUAGCGAACGGGUGAGUAACGCGUGGGCAACCAACCUUACACAGGGGGAUAACGCAGAGAAAUUUGCGCUAAUACCGCAUAAGCGCACAGUACCGCAUGGUACGGUGUGAAAAACUCCGGUGGUGUAAGACGGGCCCGCGUCUGAUUAGUUAGUUGGUGAGGUAAAAGCUCACCAAGGCGACGAUCAGUAGCCGACCUGAGAGGGUGAUCGGCCACAUUGGGACUGAGACACGGCCCAAACUCCUACGGGAGGCAGCAGUGGGGGAUAUUGCACAAUGGAGGGAACUCUGAUGCAGCAAUGCCGCGUGAAGGAAGACGGUUUUCGGAUUGUAAACUUCUAUCAGCAGGGAAGAAAGUG
rnacentral:rRNA from 1 species